GAACGGUGAAAAUUGUAAUUGGUGUAUCGUAAAACUUAUCGUAAGGAAUUGUUUAAUCAUCACUUAAGCAGCGAACUGUCUUGCUGGCUAGCACAGCUCUGUGAACCGGAUACGAACUCUUUGUCCACUUGGUUCUUACCAGCCCUCUGAUGGUUCGAUGGAUUGCCUUCCCUGUGGACAAGGUUUUACCACAGCCUCGCCAGGAGCUGUCGGUGAAUAGCAGCGUGAACCUAAGCUAUCGCUGUCUGCUACAACAUUUACAACUAGUUUCCAGACUUUGUCGAUCAAAUCAUGUAGAAUUUCAACGUUUAAAAGAUUAUGAACUGAUUGUGUAUAUUUGCUUUGAACAUGACAGAGGAAAAAAUCAGUUUCAUUCAAAAACCAGUUACUGAAGACAAGACAACCAUUUCUACACCAUUGGCGACAUCGUGAAAUUUUGAAUUGAAGGUAGGUAUAUCUUAAGAAUUUUGAACUCGCAAGAAGACAACAAGGCGAUCUGGCAGUUUUCUUAAUGUUCUCAGUUAGAAACUGGGAUGUUGAAACUUUACGAUGGCAAAUGGUGAGUUGGCUGACAAGGAGAGGCUCAUUUGGAAGCUGUUUGUCACCGGUGCUUUGUAGUUAUUUGUCGCGCGCCAUUGGUAAUUGCCAAUGGGCUCCUCUUCCUAUGUCUUUCGUUUCUCUUACCAGACAAGCACCAAUGAACAGCCUGGAACGAAAACUCAAGAAGAGGCUAAAAACCAUGAAAAUGCUGAAGAGUUACCAUGGAAACUUCCCGUCAUCAUUGGUGCAACAUCACUUGUAGUGCUAGCGCUAGGUGCCACACUUUUGGUAUUCCUCACCUGUAGGAGACGGAGACCUAAAAUAAAACCAAGGACCGGCGGCGAAGUUUGACAAUCCAAUCUACGCAUGCGCCAAACAAGAGCCAGAAGACAACGAACAGUGAUUAGUGGACGAGUCAGGGCAGGCUGCAUUCAGCCGUACGCGUGAAGAUGGUCCUGGAGAAUAUAAUGACUAGACUGGGGACUUCAAAACCAAGGAUGCUCUGAAGGACUUUACCACUGAACCGAUAUCUGAAAAUUUCGCAUCGUCCUCAGAAGAGAAAACCACAUUAAGUUUUACAAACCCAUGCUUCCAGUGAGGCAGCGAUGGCUCAUUGUGUUUGAUCAAGAGAUCAAAUGAUUUCUUGCUUUAGUUAUUUAUAUCCCUUUCUAUUACACGACUCGGGCAGUCAGAGGGCCAAUAACUAAAAUCAACCAAUCA